CAGGAGGAACUUUCCAAUAUGACAGUUGGCAAACCCACAACAUGACAGACUGCAACAGAUGCUUCCUGCUGCUACCAUAUAGAUUUUCUCUUGAUUACUUGUGUGGCUGAUGCACACAGAAGAAUGAAAGGAGUGGUAGUAGUUUCAGACUGUCUUAUUAUUAAAUACAUUGUUCUGCUUUUGUAUCAAGUACAAAAGCUGCCACUAUAGAUGAGAUAACUAGACACUCAUCUGAUUCAAAAAUGAGUGAUGUCAUUACAUCUUAACAAAUCAUGCUUCUAAAAUGGUAAAACUGUAAUCAACAGGCCCUAUUCCACUGGUGAAGCAUGCACAUAUAGCAGGUCACCUAGGGGGUAGAAAACUGCAAAUACCUUACCCAUUCCAUGCAUUCUUUUUUAAAGCUCCCUUUCCUCUCUUGCAGGAAGGCUGUAUACAUACAUAGCUGUAUGUGUGUCAGCUUGUGUCAGCCCCUUCUUGCAGUGGCUCUAGUGUUAUGAAAUUUUAUGCUGAUCUGAGCAUAAUGUCAGGUUCUGUUCAGAGAAGGACAGCUCCUGAAUGGCUGAACAAGCCAUGCACCUUAGAGUGGAAUGAAGCAGGAAGCAUCUGCUUACUAUCAAAAAAUGAAGUCAGGAAGAAUGCCCGCGAUUUUCUUUUUAGAACAAGUUUGCAAAAAAACCCCUCAGGCUUCCAGUAGCAUUCUGUUGUCUCAUAGAAUGUUACCUGCUUUUAUCAUCUUGCACAUUACUAAUUGCAAGGCUGCAGCAUAUGGAUACACUAUAUGCAGAAUCUCCAUCACAAUCCAGUUGCAAUUCUCCAGACUGUUUUACAGUGGCAAUUAGCAACGCACCUACUAUGAAGACUGCUCCUAGCUGCAGGAAGAGUCAGCGGGACUACACAGCAGACAAGAAAUGCAGCAAAUUGCUGCAAUUCACUUUCAGAGUUACAAGGGAUACCUGGAUGCCAGAACGUUUGCAGGGGCAGUAGCAGGAAUAGCCCAAGAAGCAUGGUCUGGUGGUUUCUGCCCAUUCAGGAUAAACCAGGCAGUUUUCCAUCAAUAUCCUGGAAGGCUGCAACCUAACAAGUGUUUUCACACCACACAAUCUUUCUGAUAGAGACAAAAUACUAAAUUCAGGCUAAAAAGAUCAGAAGGAAGCAUAUUGGAGAUGAGAGCUCUAACUUACUCUGUGCACUCUUUCCAUUUUUUUCCCCUAAUUCUUACGUAGAAAUUGUUUGCUGGCUACUUUUACUCUGGUUUAAGAGAGUUCAUCUUUAACUAGGUUUAUAUUUUGAGGAACAUAGCCUGUCAUUAGCAUAAGCAGCUGAUUCUUGCAUCCAUAAAACAGACACUGAAUUUCCCAGCAGUUGCUAUGAUUACAUUAUUGCUACAGGAGCUGCUUUCAAGAUCACUCCUGCUGCAAGGAAGUUUUUCUGCCUUAGUAUUCAAUAUGAUCAUGAAACUUUGUCUUCACCAAAAAUAUAUUAACAUUUGCAGAUAAGCACAUUUUACUGUGACACACCACUUAAUUAUGUUAUCCAUGUUUAAUUUUGGUAUUUAAAUAAAAACUACUAAAUUAAGUUUCUUAUAUCAGUUUACCAAGAACAGUUGGUGUUCUAGUUUUGUUAUGCUCCCUGAAACCUAUCAUCACUUAUGUGAAAUCCUAGAGUGGUCCAUAGUGGUUGUCAAAUUUUGGUAUUCAGAUUCACAGCAGAAAUCAUCAUUGAUUCUUCUCCCAGCCAAAACAAGAGGUAAAGGUGACUGAAGUAUUCAAGCAUAAGUAGAAUAGUUUGUAGUGCUCCUGACAUUAAUGCCUCAAGCUGGAUAAAUCUGCUUUAAAACACAAGCUUUUCAACUUGAAUAUUCAUGUUUUUUGCUCUUCUUACUUCUUUCCUGUUACCCUACUUUUCUUCCCCAAAAGUUUUCAAGAACCUUCUCGUUGCUGAUAUGUUUCCUUCCACUCUCCCAAUUCAAUUCCUACUUCCUUCCAUCUACAGUGCCUUGGCUGUUAGUUCCUCGAGCUCUAGACUGGGCAGCAGGAGUCACAGGAGGAGCUCUGUGCUAGAGUUUUUGCUGUGCAGAGAACACCCCACACCACUUGCCUGCAGCAGCAGUUUACCCAAAAUGGUUCCGGUGUGGUUGACCACGCUGUCACAGAAGCUGUUGAAAUUGCACAACGGAGAGAACACUGCAAGAAGAGAGGAAUGGCAACCUGGACCAGCAGCACAUGCUACAACCUCAUUCUGUGAAAAACUCAGUUGCAACCCAAUCACAUCCCUGCAAUGAGUCAAAGCAGCUUGCUUACAAAAGAGUUCCUCAACGGGAAAAAGUAAAGUGACUUCCAGGUGAAGGAAUGAAGCUGGAAGGUCAAGCAGAUCAAGAGCAGAGACUUCAAAACAGCUAAGAUACACCAGGGAAGUUCACUGUAAACAGACAUGGGCUCCCCAAAAGCAAUGUGUUAAAUCAAACUGGUUAAAUAGAACCACUGCACAUGAUAAAGUCUCAUGUCCCAACUGUGUUCUUUGACCUCUAGAAGUGGGGCAUCCUCUCCCCAGCUCUGCUCCCUCAGACCACUUGUACAAAGAAUUUUACUCCAAAGUGAUCAUGUCCCCAUUUUUAUACUACAGGUACACGCUGGGCAAAUUAACCAUGGAGGCAAGGGAAGAGAGCACAGGGAAUAAGGGGGCGUAGGGAUGGUUCACACCAUCAAGGGGGAAGACGUAACUACCAGUAAGGGGAGGACAGAAAAGGGUGUGAAUGUGCUGGAGAAAAGAUUACAACAGCAGCUAGUACUUGACUGUUCAUUGCAUGAAAAACUUUGAGCACACUGUCAAGGAGUUGGCGCGUUAUGCGAGGUUUAAACAAGUCCAGCCAGCUGCCUAAACUGUCUUGGCACUUACCAAGAAAAUAGCAGUGACAAUGCCAGACUGAAAGUUUGCAAUGACUUUAUUUGGCAUGUUGCAUCCCACUGGGCCAUUUAUGUGGCAAAAUGAAAUAUGAAUGUCUCAUGGGACUGUUUUUUCAUUGCUUACUGAUGAGCUUUUAGAACAUCAGAAGCAAUGAAAAACAAUUCUGGCUUAAGAGGAGAGCUGUAAUUAUCAUAGAAUAUAAAGGCUUGGUUCCCAUGCAGAAUGCAAUACACAAGUGGGCUAGACACUACAGCAAGCCCAGGACUCUCAGAGUCCAGCCACAAAAGCAGAAAUCAAAAUUUCAGCACUUAAAAAGGGAAAAUCUAGUGUUUUGAAGGCUCUAUUUUCAACCACUCAAGAUAAUUAAACUAGAGGGAUAACUAUAAAUAAAUCAUGGAAGUGAGGUGCAAACAAGACAAUUUGUUAAGUGUAAUUCAUACUGUCAUCAGGCCUUCCUCAUAUUAGUACCAGAAUAGCAAGGAAUGCAGUUGGCACUCCAAAUCCUCCUAACCAGAUGGCUGCUUAAGGGUUGCAACCUUACUUCAUAGGAACUAUUUUCCAACAAACAGCUCCAGAUAAGAGACAAUAACACAUCUGCUUCCCAUUAAUCUAUAUUAGUUCUCAAAAGUUCUUCUGGAGAGCAUAGCAGAAGGCUGUAGUAGUGAAGAUAAAAAAACUAGUUCUCUGCUAUGGUAGCACUGUAUCUGGUCAUUUGAUGCAAUGAGAUGCUGCAGUGCCCAGUAGAUUCUGCUCAAAUAGCAGCAUGGAAUGACAUUGCUCUCUAGAGAAUUCUGAAUGUCUAAUUAAUGUUCUGGAGUGUAGUUAGGGAUACAGGUUACUAAUUAGCAUUUUAACUAGGAGAUGCAAUCCUGUGCAUCCUUAAGUGUUAAAUCUACUUUUCAUUUUGUGUUCCUGAGGCAUGCAAAUUUGAGAGCUGGGCUUCUCAGUACUACUGCAAGGUAGGGAAGUACCUGUCUCACCACUGGAGAACAAAUACAGAGGUAAAUGCUUGUGCAAGCUCACGUGUGAACUCUGACCAAGCCCAAAAAUAAAAAAAUAAACCUUAAAAAAAAAAAAAAAAAA